rnacentral:rRNA from 1 species
GAUGAACGCUGGCGGCGUGCUUAACACAUGCAAGUCGAACGAAGCACUUUAUUUGAUUUCCUUCGGGACUGAUUAUUUUGUGACUGAGUGGCGGACGGGUGAGUAACGCGUGGGUAACCUGCCUUGUACAGGGGGAUAACAGUUGGAAACGGCUGCUAAUACCGCAUAAGCGCACGGCAUCGCAUGAUGCAGUGUGAAAAACUCCGGUGGUAUAUGAUGGACCCGCGUUGGAUUAGCUAGUUGGUGAGGUAACGGCCCACCAAGGCGACGAUCCAUAGCCGACCUGAGAGGGUGACCGGCCACAUUGGGACUGAGACACGGCCCAAACUCCUACGGGAGGCAGCAGUGGGGAAUAUUGCACAAUGGGCGAAAGCCUGAUGCAGCGACGCCGCGUGAGCGAAGAAGUAUUUCGGUAUGUAAAGCUCUAUCAGCAGGGAAGAUAAUGACGGUACCUGACUAAGAAGCACCGGCUAAAUACGUG